rnacentral:rRNA from 1 species
AUACGUAGGUGGCGAGCGUUAUUCGGAUUCACUGGGCGUAAAGGGUCCGCAGGGGGCCUGCCAAGUCUGUCGUGAAAUCCCGGGGCUCAACCCCGGGUCUGCGGUGGAAACAGGCGGGCUAGAGUGUGUGAGGGGCAGACGGAACACCUGGUGUAGCGGUGGAAUGCGUGGAUAUCAGGUGGAACACCGAUGGCGAAGGCGGUCUGCUGGCACACAACUGACCCUCAGGGACGAAAGCGUGGGUAGC